UUCCUUAACCCAGAGUUCUUAGUAUUGUGGUGAUUGAUCUUCUUUUUCUUCUCUUUUUUCUUUCUCCUGGUGAAAAUAAAUAUAGGCACUUAUGUAUAUGUAUACGUCCAAAACCCUCUCCAAUUCUUUAAUCUUGCGUCGAAUCUUGUGAGACAUUGAUUCGAUGAAGCUAUUCGACUGCAUCUAAACACAAUGACUAGAAAUCACAACGAAAAGUGUAAUUAGGUUUGGAAGAAUUUCACCUUUCGAAGAUCAUCGCUGAGAGAUAGAAGAGAAUCCAAUGUUCCAACUCGCAAAAUUAACGAUUUCAAACCAGAUCUCAUGUAUAUAUAUACAUGAGUGCCUAUAUUUAUGUGCGUGUGUGUUGCGAUCAGUACCCUGUAGAUGGUCUGUUUUAAAGAGAGAGAAGGGAGUGAAGAAGAAGAAGAUUUGAAGGGUAUUUUUGUAAUUUUAAAAACUAAUUUUAAGUUUUUAAUUUAAUAUUAAAUAGUAAGGUCAAAUUUGUCAUUUCACAGCCUAAUUAACGGGUUGGAUACAGAUAUUGGGGCAAUGUGAACACUUUUUAAAAGUAUAGGGGUUUUAGAAACAGGCUGGGGUUUUAUUAUAAAAAAAUGAAAGUAGUGAGGGUUUUAUGAAAUUUGCCCUAUUAUAUAUAUAUAUAUAUAGCAUAUGGAGAAAAAGGGUGCACUGCCGAAAGUGGGUGGAAACAUGGAAGGCCGGAAGUGAGAAAUGGAAAUGGAAAUGAAAAUGGAAAUGGAAAUGAAAUUUUAAUGUGUUAGUGGCGGGUCCCACUAAUGGUUUGUUUGGCCAAAAUUUUCUUGGGCUUUGGCUGUUCAUGUGGGUGUCCUUUGGAUAAAAUUUGUAUUCUUUAUGAAAGGAUAAGGAAGAGAAAGAUAAGGGAGUAGUGAAAUAAUGGGCUGCCAAAAGUAACAGAUUUAAUUGUAAUGAGAAAAGUGUGGGCUACACUUGAAGACUAAUUGUUUGAUAUUUUUGGUGAGCUAUUUGCACUGUGUCAACACAAAUUGUCUAUUUAUUGGGUGUUUGUUGUGUACUGAGGUAUUCAUAGAUAGUAUGAGAAAAUAGAGGAAGUAGAAGGGAAAAAUUAGAGAAAGAUUGAGGAGCUGAUGCCGAGAGAAGGCAGAGAGGACCGAGACUUGGAUAAUCCAGUGAUGAGUAUUUAUUUUUUUGAUUUCAGGUACAAAGGAUAAGCUUGGAUUGCUAGAUUCGGGCUUCGGUGGAAGAGUUGGUAUUGAGGAUUUUUAUUUAAUUUAUUUUAGAGAUGUUGUAUUUUUAUUUGAGGAAUUGAUGUUGUAUCAAUAAAGGGAAUAAUUGUAUUUCUUUUUGAGAUGCUGGGUGUAAUACUGAUGUAUUUUGAUUUGAAUAAAUCGAGGAUUUUAUUUAGAAAAUUCUG